rnacentral:rRNA from 1 species
AUGGCUUUCAUGGUGAAAAGAUAUGUGAGUGAGCACACAUGCAGCAAGAAGUGGAAGAUUAGGGCUUUCACAGCUAAAUUCCUAGCACAUAAGUACCUAGAGAUGUUCAGGGCUGAUCAAGACAUGAACCUUAUGAAUUUUUCUAGGGUUGUUCAGAAAGAAUGGCAUAUGACACCAGGCAGAAUGAAGUUGCAGAGAGCUAGAAGGAUGGCAAUGAAAAUAGUAUAUGGUGAUGAAGAAGGGCAGUACAAGCUGCUUUGGAAUUAUGCUAAUGAAGUCAGGAGAAGCAACCUUGGCUCAUCAUUUUAUGUCUCCCUUGGUGAGAAUGCAAGGUUCAGCAAGCUAUAUAUGUGUGUGGAUGCUUGCAAGAGAGGAUUCCUUUUGGGUUGUAGGCCAGUGAUCUUUCUUGAUGGCUGCCACAUAAAAACAAGGUACAGAGGUCAACUACUUGCAGCUGUUGGUGUAGAUCCAAAUAAUUGCAUCUUUCCAAUAGCAAUUGUUGUUGUUGAAGUGGAGGACACCCCUAACUGGGUGUGGUUCCUUGACACACUGAAAAGGGAUCUUGGCAUCAUCAACACUGAACCCUGGACUAUCAUGUCAGAUAAGCAAAAGGGUUUCAUUACUGCAGUUGAACAACUAUUCCCUCAGUCAGAACACAGAUUUUGUGUGAGGCACAUGUGGUAG